GGGAAUCUACCGUGCCCUGCGGAAUAGCUCCGGGAAACUGGAAUUAAUACCGCAUACGCCCUACGGGGGAAAGAUUUAUCGGGGUAUGAUGAGCCCGCGUUGGAUUAGCUAGUUGGUGGGGUAAAGGCCUACCAAGGCGACGAUCCAUAGCUGGUCUGAGAGGAUGAUCAGCCACAUUGGGACUGAGGCACGGCCCAAACUCCUACGGGAGGCAGCAGUGGGGAAUAUUGGACAAUGGGCGCAAGCCUGAUCCAGCCAUGCCGCGUGAGUGAUGAAGGCCUUAGGGUUGUAAAGCUCUUUCACCGGUGAAGAUAAUGACGGUAACCGGAGAAGAAGCCCCGGCUAACUUCGUGCCAGCAGCCGCGGUAAUACGAAGGGGGCUAGCGUUGUUCGGAAUUACUGGGCGUAAAGCGCACGUAGGCGGAUAUUUAAGUCAGGGGUGAAAUCCCAGAGCUCAACUCUGGAACUGCCUUUGAUACUGGGUAUCUUGAGUAUGGAAGAGGUAAGUGGAAUUGCGAGU
rnacentral:rRNA from 1 species